rnacentral:rRNA from 1 species
AAUCAACGCUGGCGGCGUGCCUCAGACAUGCAAGUCGAACGCGAAAGUCCCCUUCGGGGGAUGAUUAGAGUGGCGCACGGGUGAGUAACACGUAGGUAAUCUACCUUCGAGUGGGGAAUAACUCAGGGAAACUUGAGCUAAUACCGCAUAAUGCAGCGGCACCACAUGGUGACAGUUGUUAAAGCAUUUAUGCGCUUGAAGAGGAGCCUGCGGCGGAUAGCUAGUUGGUAAGGUAAUGGCUUACCAAGGCUACGAUCUGUAACCGACCUGAGAGGGCGGACGGUCACACUGACACUGAAUAACGGGUCAGACUCCUACGGGAGGCAGCAGUCGGGAAUUUUGGGCAAUGGGCGAAAGCCUGACCCAGCAACGCCGCGUGAAGGAUG